rnacentral:rRNA from 1 species
AGCAGCCGCGGUAAUUCCAGCUCCAAUAGCGUAUAUUAAAGUUGCUGCAGUUAAAAAGCUCGUAGUUGAAUUUCGGGACCAUCAUGUUGGUCGUGCCUCGGUACGUACUGGCAUUGUUGGUUUCUCCCUUCUGACGAACCAUGAUGUCAUUUAUUUGGUGUUGUGGGAAAUCAGGACUGUUACUUUGAAAAAAUUAGAGUGUUUAAAGCAGGCUCACGCUUGAAUACAUUAGCAUGGAAUAAUGAAAUAGGACGUUUGAUUCUAUUUUGUUGGUUUCUAGGAUCGACGUAAUGAUUAAUAGGGAUAGUUGGGGGCAUUAGUAUUCAAUUGUCAGAGGUGAAAUUCUUGGAUUUAUUGAAGACUAACUACUGCGAAAGCAUUUGCCAAGGAUGUUUUCAUUAAUCAAGAGCGAAAGUUAGGGGAUCGAAGACGAUCAGAUACCGUCGUAGUCUUAACCAUAAACUAUGCCGACUAGGGAUCGGAUGAUGUUAAUUUUUUAAUGACUCA